AUGGCGAACAUGGUGGCCGGAGCUCCUGCCCGCGAGGGACGACGUCUACAAUGCAUGGAACGGAGCAGAGAGAGAGGGCUGCGAGGAGCGACUGCUCACCAGGGGUGUCAGGCAAGCACAGCCACUACUCCCCUGCCGCCGGCAUGGCGGACGCGUGCAGGCGACGUCGUCCUCACGGCCGGCUGCAACCACGCCAUCGAGAUCAUGAUGGCCGUGCUGGCCUCGCCUGGCGCCAACGUGCUGCUGCCGCGGCCGGGGUACCCAACGUACGAGGCGCGCGCGGCCUUGUGCAGCCUCGAGUUCCGGCACUUCGAUCUUGUGCCGGAGAACGGGACGACGUGGGGGCGGCCCCGUCUCCUUCCCUUCCCGCCCUUCCCUUCCCUUCCCGCCAUGUCUCGCGCGCUCGCCGCGGCGCCGCUCGCCGCCGCGGUCAUGGUCAAGGCACGCGCGCUUGGGCGGUUCGCGUUGUGGUGGCGACGGGGGUACGUGCCUGGGGGGUCAACGCCUGGAUAUAUUUCCACCCCCACGCUAAAUGUUUCGCCGGCAGCCCCUCAAGAGGCGAAAAAAUGCCUCCUGGGAGCUCAACGGCUGGAGAUGCUCUAA
rnacentral:rRNA from 1 species